GAUGAACGCUGGCGGCGUGCCUAACACAUGCAAGUCGAACGAAGCACCUUACCUGAUUCUUCGGAUGAGAGUUUGGUGACUGAGUGGCGGACGGGUGAGUAACGCGUGGGUAACCUGCCCUGUACAGGGGGAUAACAGCUGGAAACGGCUGCUAAUACCGCAUAAGCGCACGAGGAGACAUCUCCUUGUGUGAAAAACUCCGGUGGUACAGGAUGGGCCCGCGUCUGAUUAGCUGGUUGGCAGGGGCACGGCCUACCAAGGCAACGAUCAGUAGCCGGUCUGAGAGGAUGAGCGGACACAUUGGAACUGAGACGCGGUCCAGACUCCUACGGGAGGCAGCAGUGGGGAAUAUUGCACAAUGGGGGAAACCCUGAUGCAGCAACGCCGCGUGAGUGAAGAAGUAUUUCGGUAUGUAAAGCUCUAUCAGCAGGGAAGAUAAUGACGGUACCUGACUAAGAAGCGCCGGCUAACUACGUG
rnacentral:rRNA from 1 species